rnacentral:rRNA from 1 species
GACGAACGCUGGCGGCGUGCUUAACACAUGCAAGUCGAACGGAAAGGCCCUGCUUUUGUGGGGUGCUCGAGUGGCGAACGGGUGAGUAACACGUGAGUAACCUGCCCUUGACUUUGGGAUAACUUCAGGAAACUGGGGCUCAUACCGGAUAGGAGCUCCUGCUGCAUGGUGGGGGUUGGAAAGUUUCGGUGGUUGGGGAUGGACUGGCGGCUUAUCAGCUUGUUGGUGUGGUAGUGGCUUACCAAGGCUUGGACGGGUAGCCGGGCUGAGAGGGGGAGCGGCACCGCCGCACUGGGAAUGAGACACGGCCCCGACUGGGAGGGGAGGGAGGAGUGGGGAAUACUGGGGGAGGGGCGAAAGCCCGACACAGCAGUGCGGGGGGAGUGAUGAAGGGGUUAGGAUUGUAAUGCCCUUUUAGCCGGGAGGAUAAUGACGGUACCGGGAGAAGAAGCUCCGGCUAACUCCGUG